UACAGAGGUGGCAAGCGUUGUUCGGAAUUACUGGGCGUAAAGGGCGCGUAGGCGGCCAUCUAAGUCAGACGUGAAAUCCCCCGGCUUAACCUGGGAACUGCGUCUGAUACUGGAAGGCUUGAGUAUGGGAGAGGGAUGUAGAAUUCCAGGUGUAGCGGUGAAAUGCGUAGAUAUCUGGAGGAACACCGGUGGCGAAGGCGGCAUCCUGGACCGGUAUUGACGCUGAGGAGCGAAAGCUAGGGGAGCAAACGGG
rnacentral:rRNA from 1 species